UAGGUUGUGGCUAAGUGGUAGAGCACUUGCCUAGCACGUGUGAGGCCCUGAGUUCAAUUAUCAGCACCAUAA
rnacentral:tRNA from 1 species